rnacentral:lncRNA from 1 species
UAAUUGAACUAUAUAAGCUAAUUAUGUCAUUUUGGAGGAUAAUUAGCUAAGAAGAAGAAGAAGAAGAGGAAGAGGAAGACUAGAAGAAGAAGAAGAAGAAGAAGAAGAAGAAUAAGGAGAAGGAGAAGGAGAAGGAGAAGGAGAAGGAGUAGGAGUAGGAGAAGGAGAAAGUGAAGGAGAAGGAGAAGGAGAUGGAAAAGGAGGAGGAGGAGGAGGAGAAGGAGAAGGAGAAGGAGAAGGAGAAGGAGAAUGAGAAGGAGAAG